GACGAACGCUGGCGGCGUGCUUAACACAUGCAAGUCGAACGAAGUGGCGAACGGGUGAGUAACGCGUAAUCAACCUGCCCUUCAGAGGGGGACAACAGUUGGAAACGACUGCUAAUACCGCAUACUGAAGGAGGGGAUUGCGUCUGAUUAGCUAGUUGGAGGGGUAACGGCCCACCAAGGCGAAGAUCAGUAGCCGGGCGGGGGGGAGGAACGGGCAAAUUGGGACUGAGACACGGCCCAGGAUCCUACGGGAGGCAGCAGGGGGGAAUCUUCCGCAAUGGACGAAAGUCUGACGGAGCAAAGCCGCGUGAGUUAUGACGGCCUUCGGGUUGUAAAGCUCUUUUAAUCGGGACGCGGUACCGGAAUAGAAAGCCACGGCUAACUACGUGCCAGCAGCCGCGGUAAUUC
rnacentral:rRNA from 1 species